rnacentral:rRNA from 1 species
GAUGAACGCUGGCGGCGUGCCUAAUACAUGCAAGUCGAACGAGGUGCUUUUGUAGCAAUACGAGAGUAUCCUAGUGGCGAACGGGUGAGUAACGCGUUGGUGACCUACCCCAAAGUGUGGGAUAACAGUCCGAAAGGAUUGCUAAUACCGCAUGUGGUCUUCGGAUUUAGAAACUGAUGACUAAAGGAGCAAUUCGCUUUGGGAGGGACCUGCGUCCCAUCAGCUAGUUGGUGAGGUAAUGGCUCACCAAGGCGACGACGGGUAGGGGACCUGAGAGGGUGACCCCCCACAAUGGAACUGAAACACGGUCCAUACACCUACGGGUGGCAGCAGUAGGGAAUAUUGCUCAAUGGGCGAAAGCCUGAAGCAGCAACGCCGCGUGCACGAUGAAGGCCUUCGGGUCGUAAAGUGCUUUUCUGGGAGAUGAGAAAGGACAGUAUCCCAGGAAUAAGUCUCGGCUAACUACGUGC